CUCUCUGACGGGCAUAGUUCAGCUCCGCUCUGAAGCAAAUUCUUUUGUCUUUCGAGCAUAAAAGCCAGCAACUCUCUGCGGAAACGCAGAUCAGAUCUUGUUUUCAGAUGCUGAUUGAUUACAGCCAGGAGUAACAGAUCGCUCUUUGUUUGGCUGUCAUACGUCUGCCUUUCCUCAUUGGAUCGUGGAUUUCCCGCCGUGUUUUUUUUUAUUUAG